GCCUACGACCAUAUCACCCUGAAUGUUCCCGAUCUCGUCUGAUCUCGGAAGCUAAGCAUGGUCGAGCCUGAUUAGUACUUGGAUGGGAGACUGCCUGGGAAUAACAGGUGUUGUAGGCU
ensembl:rRNA 5S_rRNA 5S ribosomal RNA